UGAGGCUGUAGCUUUCUGAACCCUGGUAACAGCACACAUCAAAAUGUGGGAAACCAAACUUAAGACCGUGGCAGAUUUGUGUUAAGCAACACACUAUUGGAAUAUGUAUACAUGACCAAAAGAAGAUGAAUUAAAAGACAUACGUUGUCGCGGUCCAUCUACCGAAAGAAAGUUUCAGAUCGUGAAGAGAAGCCGGGUACGGAGAAAGUAUCUCGUUUUUAUAGCUACAGGAGACAACGACCGACGUCUGCUAACCAUCCGUUGCUGGGGUUAGGGAAACAUGAUUGCAUCGUACUAUUUCUGCAGCACAGGAAGGGUAGAAAUUGCAUAUUUUCCUCCUUACAGAGUGACAAAGAAUUAUUUGAAAACAUGCGAAUGAAAUUUAGGAGGUAUUCGAGUAGUUUUAAACUGCGAAAAUGUUCAUGCUGCAGAGAAGUAGGAACCCAUAUUACAGUUGUCGCUCGACUGUUGUGUAGAAAAGACUGUUAGUAGAAUGACUGAAUUCCCAGGUGCUUCAACGCUGUUUUGUAGCUUAAAUUCUGUUGAGGAUAAAAACUAACUUGGCACAUCGGAAAAAAAUGACAGCUCUGGACAAUUCGCCAUUUUAAUUUGAAUUUAUCCGGCACAGUGAAAUUUAGAAGACCCUAGUAGUUGAGAAGACACUUGAUUUAAUUAUAGAACCGCAUCGAUUGUGGCAGCUGACCCUCCUGGAAGAGCUAUACAAGAACAUUUCUAUAACAACUACUCUACUCCUUUAAAUUUGUAUAUUAUUAUUAAAUUAUUAUUUAUCGGUGUGGCUUUGUAUUAUUAAGCAAGAAACGCGUAAAGGCACUACUGCAUUUUCAAGUAAAACAUGACUGUCAGAUUAUUAUAAUUUCAUUUUAUA